AUCUUGCUGGAGAUCCCUGCCUACUGAUGUCCUUCACAAGAACACAGCAGAGCUGAAUCACCACUGCAAUUUUCAAGGCUCAGAAAUCAUCACCUUGGCUCCUUCCUGAGCUUGAUGUUCUCAAUACUCAUCUUCAGUACUGAGCGGCUCUGCUGUGCAUAGCUACUUCACUGUAUUGUUAAGGGAGUUAUUUCUUCCUUUGAUUUAGCCCAAAGAAAGACUGCUUUCUAAAUCUAUUACUUAGAACCAGAUUUGAAUCUAUCCUUCACCCCAUUAGUAAUUAGCUGAUGGCAGCUGGUAACAUCUAACUAGCAGUAUCACACUGCAAAACUUUUGUUCGUGAUAAUAUGGCACAUUUAUUAUUUCCAGAGAAGCAUAAAGCCUCAGGUGGUAUUGUGGACUUGUCUCAGUUGAUUUAAAAGAACUAUUCUCUAUGUACCAUCUAAAGUUAGUUGGUUUCCUUGGUUUUCUAAGGGAAUUAGACUUCAUGUUUCUUCAGCUGUAGUAAUUCAUGAACUUGAGAGCCAGGCUGUACAGUGGGAAAGAGCUCUCACAGGCAUUCUACUGGAUGAUAAACAGAGACGAACACAAAUUUUAGUACUGCAAAGAAUGUAGCAUAAACUCAGUUAUGUUAAUAAGUAGAGAACAGUGGAGAUGGAUGGGAGAGAUAAUGAAAUUAGGAUGUUAAGUUUUGUAAGUAAUACUUUGAUACUUAAAAUAUUUUUAAUGGAGUAGAAUUCUAGGGGUAGAAAUCAAGCUUUUCUAACUGCUUCCCCAAGAAUGGCUAAUAGGUUUAUUUGUUUAUUGCACAUGAAUUUUAUUCUUUACUUUGUAUUUCCAUAACCUUCCAUCCUUUUUCUAACAUAUAUAGAGCUGUAGAAAUCAGCUUAGUUUUGCUGAAAGUUAUAAGCAGCUGUACAAAGCACCAGCCAUCUCUGAGACAUUCCACAUGUCACAAAGAAUGGAUGCUUUUAAUAAAUUCCUUACAACUUUUAUAAAAAUUUUGCCAAAUUAGAUCUUUGGUGUGUGUGUGACAACAAAAGCUAAAAGUCCUUCAAAUGCAUCUUCAUAAAUAAGAUGUGCAUUGCUACCCCAUUACAUCUAAACCAUAAAGAAAUAUGAAAGGAAAACUGUGAGAUCUGCUAUGAAAUCUACUCUGUGCACAAAAAAAAGCUAGACAAUAAUAUUGCAUACUCAUUGCAAGAGAAAUUUCUGUAUUUAAAAAUAAGUCUGAUAACCUUGUAAGCUAUUUAUUUGUCUACAUGUCAAACUGUUUUAAAAAUAGUUGUUCUUAAGCUCCUACAAUUUUAUUCCUAAGUGUACAUAUUUAUCUGAAAUUCAUAUUUUUCUAACCUAAGAUAAAGACUUACUAGUUUGUUUUAGCUGAGCUAUUUAUUGUUGGUUUUUUUUGUAUUUUAAUAUCAGAGAAAGCUGAUGAUUUUGACAGGCAGAAGUAAGAGUUCAGUGUUUACAGUGUUUAAUGUAGCAGAAAUUAAAGAAGGAAAGAAUGUCAUUCUGUUUGAUUUUUGUAAAACAUCUGUAAGCUCAGUUUUCUUUGGUUGUGACAUAAUGAAAGUGGGAAAAAGAAGACUUGCUGGCCGCUAUACCUAGGUGUUGUGCUUGAUUCAGAGAUUAUAUUUUAUGGGGGUGUACAUAUUGCAGUAAUGCUAGGUUGCUGUAAGAGCUGUAAAAUGGUUACAGAUGCCUAAAUCAAGAAUUGUGGUUGAACUUUGCACUUACUGGAAGUUCCUUGUAGCCACCCCUGCUGACAGCAACCAGAGAGUACUGAAUAAAACAACUGGCAUCUGACUG
rnacentral:lncRNA from 1 species